rnacentral:rRNA from 1 species
CCUACGGGAGGCAGCAGUGAGGAAUAUUGGUCAAUGGGCGCGAGCCUGAACCAGCCAAGUCGCGUGAAGGAAGACUGCCCUACGGGUUGUAAACUUCUUUUAUCAAGGAGCAAAGUGGGCCACGUGUGCCGUUUUGUAUGUACUUUAUGAAUAAGGAUCGGCUAACUCCGUGCCAGCAGCCGCGGUAAUACGGAGGAUCCGAGCGUUAUCCGGAUUUAUUGGGUUUAAAGGGUGCGUAGGUGGGUUGUUAAGUCAGUUGUGAAAGUUUGCGGCUCAAACGUAGUAUUGCAGUUGAUACUGGCGGUCUUGAGUACAGUCGAGGUAGGCGGAAUUCGUGGUGUAGCGGUGAAAUGCAUAGAUAUCACGAAGAACUCCGAUUGCGAAGGCAGCUUACUAGUCUGCGACUGACGUUGAGGCUCGAAAGUGUGGGUAUCGAACAGGAUUAGAUACCCGUGUAGUC